rnacentral:rRNA from 1 species
UGCCUAAUACAUGCAAGUAGAACGCUGAAGGAGGAGCUUGCUUCUCCGGAUGAGUUGCGAACGGGUGAGUAACGCGUAGGUAACCUGCCUGGUAGCGGGGGAUAACUAUUGGAAACGAUAGCUAAUACCGCAUAACAGUAGAUGUUGCAUGACAUUUGCUUAAAAGGUGCAAUUGCAUCACUACCAGAUGGACCUGCGUUGUAUUAGCUAGUUGGUGGGGUAACGGCUCACCAAGGCGACGAUACAUAGCCGACCUGAGAGGGUAAUCGGCCACACUGGGACUGAGACACGGCCCAGACUCCUACGGGAGGCAGCAGUAGGGAAUCUUCGGCAAUGGACGGAAGUCUGACCGAGCAACGCCGCGUGAGUGAAGAAGGUUUUCGGAUCGUAAAGCUCUGUUGUAAGAGAAGAACGAGUGUGAGAGUGGAAAGUUCACACUGUGACGGUAUCUUACCAGAAAGGGACGGCUAACUACGUGCCAGCAGCCGCGGUAAUACGUAGGUCCCGAGCGUUGUCCGGAUUUAUUGGGCGUAAAGCGAGCGCAGGCGGUUAGAUAAGUCUGAAGUUAAAGGCUGUGGCUUAACCAUAGUACGCUUUGGAAACUGUUUAACUUGAGUGCAAGAGGGGAGAGUGGAAUUCCAUGUGUAGCGGUGAAAUGCGUAGAUAUAUGGAGGAACACCGGUGGCGAAAGCGGCUCUCUGGCUUGUAACUGACGCUGAGGCUCGAAAGCGUGGGGAGCAAACAGG